CAGCCGCCGCGGUAAUACGAACCGUCCGAACGUUAUUCGGAAUUACUGGGCUUAAAGCGCGUGUAGGCGGGUCGGCACGUCGGACGCUGAAAUUCCCCGGCUUAACCGGGGAAGUGGCGCCGAUACGGCCGGCCUGGAGGGGGGUAGGGGGGCCUGGAACUUCCGGUGGAGCGGUGAAAUGCGUUGAGAUCGGAAGGAACGCCCGUGGCGAAAGCGAGGCCCUGGACCUUUUCUGACGCUGAGACGCGAAAGCCAGGGGAGCGAACGGGAUUAGAUACCCCUGUAGUCCCUGUCUCUUAUA
rnacentral:rRNA from 1 species